UGACUUCCCAACUGUGCCAUUCCUGC
rnacentral:piRNA from 1 species